GUUUAUCAAAACAUAGCUAAUGUAUGAACUUAUAAUUAUCGAUACUAUUUUGGAUAAUAAUACAAUAGACAUAAAUUUGUCUUUUAAAAACUAUUUUUUAAAAAAUAUUUUAUUAUAGCUAAUUCAUAUUUAAUGGUUAAUUAUAUCGAAGUUAUAAACAAUUAAUUAAUUAUUCAUUAAGGAUAACAACGUAUUUAACCGAUCUACAUGAUAGCUCUGUUAAUAAUACAGAUAUAUAGGGAUAAAUUGAAUAAAACUACCAUACAAAUAUAUUUAAAAUAUCAUAUGAUUUAUCUGGUCAUCCAUAUCUAAUACUCAUAACAAUAUGUCAAAUCUUAUGAAAAUCUUUUUUGGAUUACAUUCUAUAUAUUCAUAAUAGAAGAUUCUUUUCUUUUUUUUUCUUUCUUUGAUUACAUUACAUAUAUAUACUCUAAAGUUAGUUUUAUUUGUUACAAAUCUCUACCGAUCACAAUAUCAAUAUCAUUAUAAUUUUCAUCGCCAGGUUUUCGUUACCUCUUCUAUCGCUAUGGCUGCCGUUAGCCGUACGCUGGUUUGUUGUUGAUUCUUAAUUAUCUUUGUUUCGGAUUCCGUUUAUUUUUCUUAAAAGAUUGGUUAGUAAAUCUUUAUAAUGAUUUCACAAACUAACACAUAUAGGGUUUAUUAGAGGUUGAAAUUGUCAGGGUGAUUAGGAGGAAACGAAGAUUUUUAAAUUUUUUCCCAUUUAAAAUGUAAAUUUAAUCUCAUCAUAUAAAAAACGAAGAUCCAAAUUAGAUCGAUUAGUGUUAAUAGGAUUGCCAACGUGUAACAUUUGCUUCCAUCUAACAAGGAAUUGAUCAGUUGAACUAAUACUAAAAUUAAUAUUUUGGUUGUAGCUGGACGGUUUCAUGAUAAACAGAGACGAGUUGAAAAGUUUACAUGGAUUUAUCAUCAAGGUAACUUCGGGAGGUAUCUACUCGAUCAGUGAUCUAUUUUUUAAUCUCCGCCGCAUAUACUUUCCUGUCUUAUCAGGUUUUCCAUAGAUAUGAUCAGUUUGUCAAAGAUCCGCUUAGCAAUGUUGUGGUGGAUUACAUUUUCAAUGUUUGUUACUGGUUUGGUUUAGUGGAAUUCGGAUUUAGGAUUCGGUUAUGGAAUGAGAACCCGCAACUUGCCAGUAAAAUUAGGCAUCUCAUGCAUAGUCUCGUGUUUAUGACCGUGAACACGAUCAUCGUGGCUCCACUAAAACCCAACAAGGCUUUAACCUUAGUUUACGUAGGAGGGUCACUUAUGUUCUGGACAUUUAUCGUUGUAGUAAAUGUUAUUAUUCAUCUGGCUUUCUUGGAUGAUGAUUCAUUAACCCAGCCAUUGGUUUAGGGACAAUCGUACCACCUCUAUAAAUGUAACAUUCAUUAUGGAUUCAAUUUUCUUAUAUAAUAUGAGUAACAAUUUUUUUU